rnacentral:misc_RNA from 1 species
UUCCUUUUGAUUCUGGCUUCACUUCUUCAUUUUUAUCUUUACUAAAAUACCAAAAAGUACAAAUUCCCCCCACCAUAAGAUUUUAGUAUUCUUAAUUCCUUUUUUGGAUUACUAUCCGCGCCCUACGCGUCUCUUCAGGCUUAACUAUUUAUACAGUUCCUUAUCUGACGUACCUACUACACACCCCUCAAAAUAAGCUGUUAAUCAAACACUUAAAGUAGACUGG